CUCCAAUCAAAUUUUCAAAAGUUUUUUGUUUUUGUUUUUGUUUCUUCUCUAAAGGGGUUUGCUAACAAUCUCUCUAGUGUUUUUCUUUAUUGGAGGAUAAUAGUGUGGUUUUAUUUAUAUGAAGAUAGGAAAGAGAAGCGUUGAAUAUAUUUGGUUAGACUAAUAAUAUAGAUUUGACCUUAAAUUAAAACUUCCAAAUUAAAGAGAUGUAAUCAAGGAUGAUGAUAUUAUUAUUAUUAAACAAAGUUGAUAAAUCUAGCCGAUAAGAAGAAGAUCAGCUUAGACAAUGAGUUUAUAGGAUGUGACACGUUUGACUGCUCAUCCAAAAGAAACAUCAACCCAGUUUAUAGAAUGUGAGUCAUGUGCCACCUUUGACUUCUCAUCCAUCAGUAACUAGUUUAUAGGAUCGCUUAGAUUUUAUUUAUUACGUCAUGGGCCUGGGCCAUGUCUUGAAUGGGCCAUAGUUAAACCAUUCUGCAACGGCUAGUAGCCUUCUUUAAUCGUGGUCCGUGGAUAAAGCAAAAGAACAAUCACAGAAGAGAAAAUGCAUCAAAGAGCAGCAGAGUCUCUGGAACAAUCACUUCUCUGCUGACAUUUUACUCCAUCAUGAUUCUUCCAGCAUCAAGGUAAAGCAUCUCAAGCAUGAUAAAGAAACGAUGGAUGCUAAGAACAAUCUGACUUGUGAAGAACCAGAAGAGAUACCAUCCCCCAAGUUGAGAUAUUGGCUGAAGAGCUCAACAACUCCAUGGCUCUCUCCAAUCCGGCAUGGCUCUACGAUGAUGAUGCCUUCCACUCCUCUGGCUUGGCGGUUGGAUUCAGCUGACUUCACUCUCAAAGAAUACUUCUUCUGAAUGUCUGCUUUGUCCUCAUUGUUUUUAGUUUAUACUCCUCUAUUGAUAUAUUUUUUUCUCAAAAACAAAAUUAUUUUAAAUAAACUCGAUUUAUAUAACCAGGAAAAAAAAUCCAAUAAAUAUGAACUCAGAAGCCAUGAUUCUUUACUCAAAUUACAAAGCCCUUAGAAUUUUCAUGAAGCUUGAAAAUAGGUG